rnacentral:rRNA from 1 species
ACUGCUCAGUAACACGUGGCUAAUCUGCCCUUGGGACCGGAACACCCCCGGGAAACUGGGGCUAAUUCUCGAUAGGUGAAGAACUCUGGAAUGAGUCUUUGCCAAAAAGACGUUUACGUUAUGCUCGUAGGCGUCGCCCAAGGAUGAGGCCGCGACCGAUCAGGUUGUUGGUGAGGUAAUGGCUCACCAAGCCUUUUACCGGUGCGGGCCGUGAGAGCGGGAGCCCGGAGAUGGGCACUGAGACAAGGGCCCAGGCCCUACGGGGCGCAGCAGUCGCGAAAACUUUGCAAUACACGAAAGUGUGACAGGGCUAUCCCGAGUGCCAUCCGCUGAGGAAGGCUUUUACCCAGUCUAGAACGCUGGGGGAAUAAGGAGAGGGCAAGUCUGGUGUCAGCCGCCGCGGUAAUACCAGCUCUCCGAGUGGUGUGGAUGUUUAUUGGGCCUAAAGCAUCCGUAGCUGGCUGAGUUAGUCCCUUGUUAAAUCCACCGAAUUAAUCGUUGGAUUGCGGGGGAUACUGCUCGGCUAGGGGACGAGAGAGGCAGACGGUAUUUCCGGGGUAGGGGUGAAAUCCUAUAAUCCCGGGAAGACCACCAGUGGCGAAGGCUGUCUGCUAGAACGCGCCCGACGGUGAGGGAUGAAAGCUGGGGGAGCGAACCGGAUUAGAUACCCGGGUAGUCCCAGCUGUAAACGAUGCAGGCUAGGUGUUUGGACGGCCACGUGCCGUUCUAGUGCCGCAGGGAAGCUGUUAAGCCUGCCGCCUGGGGAGUACG